ACGAACGCUGGCGGCGUGGAUAAGACAUGCAAGUCGAACGAGAGAAUUGCUAGCUUGCUAAUAAUUCUCUAGUGGCGCACGGGUGAGUAACACGUGAGUAACCUGCCCCCGAGAGCGGGAUAGCCCUGGGAAACUGGGAUUAAUACCGCAUAGUAUCGAAAGAUUAAAGCAGCAAUGCGCUUGGGGAUGGGCUCGCGGCCUAUUAGUUAGUUGGUGAGGUAACGGCUCACCAAGGCGAUGACGGGUAGCCGGUCUGAGAGGAUGUCCGGCCACACUGGAACUGAGACACGGUCCAGACACCUACGGGUGGCAGCAGUCGAGAAUCAUUCACAAUGGGGGAAACCCUGAUGGUGCGACGCCGCGUGGGGGAAUGAAGGUCUUCGGAUUGUAAACCCCUGUCAUGUGGGAGCAAAUUAAAAAGAUAGUACCACAAGAGGAAGAGACGGCUAACUCUGUGCCAGCAGCCGCGGUAAUACAGAGGUCUCAAGCGUUGUUCGGAAUCACUGGGCGUAAAGCGUGCGUAGGCUGUUUCGUAAGUCGUGUGUGAAAGGCGCGGGCUCAACCCGCGGACGGCACAUGAUACUGCGAGACUAGAGUAAUGGAGGGGGAACCGGAAUUCUCGGUGUAGCAGUGAAAUGCGUAGAUAUCGAGAGGAACACUCGUGGCGAAGGCGGGUUCCUGGACAUUAACUGACGCUGAGGCACGAAGGCCAGGGGAGCGAAAGGGAUUAGAUACCCCUGUAGUCCUGGCAGUAAACGGUGCACGCUUGGUGUGCGGGGAAUCGACCCCCUGCGUGCCGGAGCUAACGCGUUAAGCGUGCCGCCUGGGGAGUACGGUCGCAAGAUUAAAACUCAAAGAAAUUGACGGGGACCCGCACAAGCGGUGGAGUAUGUGGCUUAAUUCGAUGCAACGCGAAGAACCUUACCUGGGCUUGACAUGUAAUGAACAACAUGUGAAAGCAUGCGACUCUUCGGAGGCGUUACACAGGUGCUGCAUGGCCGUCGUCAGCUCGUGUCGUGAGAUGUUUGGUUAAGUCCAGCAACGAGCGCAACCCCUGUUGCCAGUUACCAGCACGUGAAGGUGGGGACUCUGGCGAGACUGCCCAGAUCAACUGGGAGGAAGGUGGGGACGACGUCAAAUCAUCAUGCCCUUUAUGUCUUGGGCUACACACGUACUACAAUGCCCAGUACAGAGGGGGCCGAAGCCGCGAGGCGGAGGAAAUCCUAAAAACUGGGCCCAGUUCGGACUGUAGGCUGCAACCCGCCUACACGAAGCCGGAAUCGCUAGUAAUGGCGCAUCAGCUACGGCGCCGUGAAUACGUUCCCGGGUCUUGUACACACCGCCCGUCACAUCAUGGAAGCCGGUCGCACCCGAAGUAUCUGAAGCCAACCGCAAGGAGGCAGGGUCCUAAGGUGAGACUGGUAACUGGGAUG
rnacentral:rRNA from 1 species